AAUAGAAAACAGUAAAGAAAGACCUCUUGUUAGAUAAUAUGUAAAUUAGUCUCCUGGUAAUAUAUAUAAAUAUAAAACUUUUUUGAAAACUAAGAAAAUAAUUAUAUGUAAUUGUUAGAAUUACAUACAGUGGGUUAUAUCUUCCAUUAUGAUAUAAUUUGUUAUUCAGCUGUUAACAAGUUUCAAACUGGACAAAGUGACAGGCAGAUUCUUUACCCCUGAGCCACUAGGGAAGCCCUAUGGUUUCUAUGCUUCUCAGCAAAAAAUCUAUUAUGAAAUUUCCUUUUGAUUGCAAUUAAAAAAAGAAAAACCACACACACUUGUUUUUUCCUUUUCUUUCUUCUCAGAUAAAUGUAAAACAGUAUUCACAAUCCAACGUCAGUAGACUAUUCUUCACAGCAGAAAAGUACUGUUCCUUCCAGACACCAGGAAGUUCAUAUUUUUUCCAUCUGUACUUUUUCUCUUAGAAAUUUAUCAUGUCAUUGAUAGAACACACCUGCUGUUUCCUGUUUUGUUUCAUUUUUCCUUUGUGAAAGGCCAUGAAUAAGGUGUCUGGACCCCAGAGAAAGAAGAUGAAGGUUUGGCCACAAGCUCUGUAGACACACCUUCACAGCUGCCGUGAUCUUUCUGGGAGUUAAGAGGUAAGAGGGGGGCUUCUCUUAGGACGUGUGCUGCUGUCUGUCUUCUGACUACCUGUGAUUAGACUGUGCUCAGCAACCCCUCAGUCAUGCUUAUGGCUUCCUGAAUCUAGCUUUAUUUCAUGCUGCUCCAAGCCCUGGCAACCCCAGGAUGCUCUCACCUGUCCCACUGGAGCCCUUAGAUACAUCUGUGUCCGUCUGGAGCACUCUAUAUGAUGAUCUGACUUUGUCUGGGCCCCAUGCUCAGUUAUGUCUCCUAAAUCAGGCAUCACCACACUGGAGUGUGAUUGACUCCAGGGGUCAGAGUCACGCCAUAGGAUCCACGUAAAGAAUGUCAUAGAGACACUGUUCAUCACACAUACAU
ensembl:lncRNA